ensembl:misc_RNA Y_RNA Y RNA
GGCUGGUUGAGUGCGGUGGUGUUUACGACUCACUGAUCACAGCCUGUUACAGAUUUCUUUGUUCCUUCUCUACUCCCACUGCCUCACUUACCUAGCCUAUA